rnacentral:rRNA from 1 species
AACGAACGCUGGCGGCAUGCCUAACACAUGCAAGUCGAACGAUGCCUUCGGGCCUAGUGGCGCACGGGUGCGUAACGCGUGGGAAUCUGCCUUUCGGUUCGGAAUAACUCAGGGAAACUUGAGCUAAUACCGGAUAACGUCGCAAGACCAAAGAUUUAUCACCGAAAGAUGAGCCCGCGUAGGAUUAGCUAGUUGGUGAGGUAAAGGCUCACCAAGGCGACGAUCCUUAGCUGGUCUGAGAGGAUGAUCAGCCACACUGGGACUGAGACACGGCCCAGACUCCUACGGGAGGCAGCAGUGGGGAAUAUUGGACAAUGGGCGAAAGCCUGAUCCAGCAAUGCCGCGUGAGUGAUGAAGGCCUUAGGGUUGUAAAGCUCUAUUACCCGGGAAGAUAAUGACGGUACCGGGAGAAUAAGCCCCGGCUAACUCCGUG